UGAGGAAGAGCCCUCGCACAGCCACCAUGCUCAGCACAAGACCAGUCCUGCUGCUCCUGCUGCUCCUCACCUUCUCCCAGCACUGCGCCACAGCACUCUACACACCUACUGAAUGCUGCUUCGAUUAUGCACAAAAACCUGUUCGGAUUGCAAAUAUAAAGAGUUUCUACACGACGUCCAACGACUGCGCCUUACCUGCAGUAGUGUUUGUGACUGCUGCUGGUUUCAAGGUCUGUAAUAACCCUCAGAAGCCCUGGGUGAAGAAAACGCUAAAUAAGCUUAGAAGAAAAAAAUGAAAUCCACGUUUUGCCAUCCACGGUCAGACUCGUGCCUCCAGUCCUCAGAUCUCCAAACGGAGCAGAGGGUGCUCGGUGCAGCUCCCCAGAGGGUCGCAUGGCAGCGGGUGCAGGCACUGCACACGGAGCCAGCCUGCGCCCCGAGGGAGGCCGGGCUUUGCGGCAGCACAGACAAGCUGGACACUGCGUACCUCACACUGCUACUGCCCUGCCAGGACGUGCCCAGUGGCAGAAAUAUUUAUAAUAAAGACUCAUUUCCACAAGCUGCUGUUUGAGUUUGUCCCAGUUUUUCAGCCCGAGGAGCAAAUCCAACAAGCCCAGAGCACGGUGUGACCAAAACGCCUGCUGGGUACAGGCACGCGUUUCUGUGGGGUAGGAACUAACUCUGCCUCUUCGUGUUGGGCGUCGUUGGGGAUGUGACAGUGGGGCCAGGUCUUGACUUGUGCGUUAGGCUACGUCUUUAUGGCAUGCUCUCAGCCCCACACGCGCUGCAGGUGCUCCAAUAUUUGAUGCUCAGGAGCAGGGGGUUGAGGGAGAAUAUACUGAUCUGCCAAAUCCAGCUCCCUCACUGCCUUGUCAGCCUCUAAAUGCACUGGUGUUUGGUCAAAACAGAUGAGGAAGACUAAAAAUAAUGUCCACAGUGCCAGUAUGAUGAGGACACAGCCCACCUUUCAGCUGCUUUUUGUAGA